GGCAGCUCCUCCAUUUCCUCCGUGGGAUGGAUGUUGUAGAGUGAAGAGGUUUGGACAGACUGGACAAAGCCAAAGUGUAUUGCAGAAGAGAUGUCUGGCUCUCACAACCGGCUCUCACAACCAGCAUUACGAGUCUCUUCGAAUGACCAACUUUCCAGGGAGAGCUUGGUCUGCUGUGUCCUGUGGGCCCAGGGACCAUGGCCCUGCCUGGAGCUGUGCCCGAAAAGGU